rnacentral:rRNA from 1 species
UGGGGGAUAUUGCGCAAUGGGCGAAAGCCUGACGCAGCGACGCCGCGUGGGUGAUGAAGGCCUUCGGGUCGUAAAGCCCUGUCGAGAGGGACGAAUCGGCUCCGACCCAAUACGUCGGAGCCCUGACGGUACCUCUAAAGGAAGCACCGGCUAACUCCGUGCCAGCAGCCGCGGUAAUACGGAGGGUGCAAGCGUUGUUCGGAAUCACUGGGCGUAAAGCGCGUGUAGGCGGUCCGCUAAGUCUGGUGUGAAAGCCCGGGGCUCACCCCCGGAAGUGCACUGGAAACUGACGGACUCGAGUCCCGGAGAGGAGAGUAGAAUUCCUGGUGUAGCGGUGAAAUGCGUAGAUAUCAGGAGGAAUACCGGUGGCGAAGGCGGCUCUCUGGACGGUGACUGACGCUGAGACGCGAAAGCGUGGGGAGCAAACAGG